CUUGCCGGCUUGUUUUCGGCGAUCAGACGCCGGGAUCGGACUCCCCACCCCCGAAAACCCCGGAAGCCACCCUCCUUCGUCGGAAAAUCCUUGCCGGCAGCCAUGGGAAGUGUCGCGUGAGCAGCGACUUUCCGGCCCCGAUCCGCCGCCUUCCGGCCACUUUCCGGCCAAAAAUCUUGUACUUCUGGACUCCUCGCAAC
rnacentral:lncRNA from 1 species